rnacentral:tRNA from 4 species
GGUUCCAUCGUUUAAAUGGAUAAGAUACUCCCCUGUCACGGGAGAGUUGAGGGUUCGAUGCCCUCUGGAACCGCCA